rnacentral:rRNA from 1 species
AUUGAACGCUGGCGGCAGGCUUAACACAUGCAAGUCGAGCGAGCGGCGGACGGGUGAGUAAUGUCUGGGAAACUGCCUGAUGGAGGGGGAUAACUACUGGAAACGGUAGCUAAUACCGCAUACCAUCAGAUGUGCCCAGAUGGGAUUAGCUAGUAGGUGGGGUAAUGGCUCACCUAGGCGACGAUCCCUAGCUGGUCUGAGAGGAUGACCAGCAACACUGGACCUUGGACAGGGUCCAGACUCCUACGGGAGGCAGCAGUGGGGAAUAUUGCACAAUGGGCGCAAGCCUGAUGCCGCCAUGCCGCGUGUAUGAAGAGGGCCUUCGGGUUGUAAAGUACUUUCAGCGAGGAGGCGUUACUCGCAGAAGAAGCACCGGCUAACUCCGUGCCAGCCGCCGCGGUAAUAC